rnacentral:sRNA from 1 species
UUAUUUCAUUUAACAUUGGAUUGUGUAGACAUUUUCUUCAAAUAUAUACUUAAGGUCAUUCUAAUUUUCUGUUGUAUAACAUUUGAAAAAACGAAACAAUUGAAUUUUCCACCAAACUUUCUACUUUGCUUCUCAGAUGUCUUGAAUAAGCGAAAUAUUUAGCUGUGAGUGUUGUCAUCGUGAACAGGUGCGGAAACUGGUGCAGGAGAUGUCGACACAAAUAAAUGCUACAAAACUGGUUUGCAUGGCGAAAUUAUUCCUUUUUAAAACAAUUUAUUUGCUUAUUCUUUCUCUAUUUUUUAUCAGGAAAAUAUUCUCUCUUUAUUUUUAAGUCUAAAAAGCAUAUUAAUAUUUUUCUAGGAUGUAAAUAUUUACACGUUCCAACAAAAUUUGUACAAUACUGAUAAUCAAAGACCUUAAAUCACCCAUAGUGUCUUCGACUAAUUUGAUUGCAUCCUAUAGACAUAUUUCUACUUUUGUAGUAUAACCUUUU